GGAAACGCUUACGGUAGAUACCUAGGCACCCAAAGACAAGGAAGGGCAUAGUAAUCGACAAAAUGCUUUGGGAGUUAAAUAAGAAUAGAUCCAAAGAUUCUCGAAUAAGGCAACCUUUCGAACUGCUAUUGAAUCCAUGGGCAGGCAAGAGACAACUUGGCAAACUGAAACAAUUUAGUAGCCAAAGGAAAAGAAAGCAAAAGCAAUUCCAGUAGUAGUGACGAGCGAAAUGGGAUUAGUAGUCAAAAGCAUCACUAGCUUACGCUCUGACCCGAGUAGUAUGGGACAUGUGGAAUCCCAUGCGAAUCAGCAAGGACCACCUUGCAAGGGUAAAUAAUCCUAGGUGAUCGAUAGCAAAGUAGUACCAUGAGGAAAGGAUGAAAAGAACCUCCCAUUAGGGAAUGAAAUAGAAUAUGAAACCAUAAGCUCCCAAGUAGUGGGAGGAUGGCAGUCUCUGACCGCAUGCCUGUUGAAGAAUGAGCUGGCGACUCAUAGGCAGUGGCUUGGUUAAGGGAACCCAUCUGAGCCAUAGUGAAAGCGAGUCUACAUAGGGCGAUUGUCACUGCUUAUGGACCUAAACCUGGGUGAUCUAUCCAUGACCAGGAUGAAGCUUGGGUGCAACUAAGUGGAGGUUCGAACUGACUGAUUUUGAAAAAUCAGCGGAUGAGUUGUGGUUAGGGGUGAAAUGCCACUCGAACCCAGAGCUAGCUGGUUCUCCCCUAAAUGCGUUGAGGCGUAGUAGUUGACUGGACAUCUAGGGGUAAAGCAUUGUUUCGGUGUGGGCUACGAGAGCGGCACCAAAUCAAGGCAAUACUAUAUAUGACCUCAAAAUAACAGGGGUCAAGGUCAGCCAGUGAGACGAUGGGGGAUAAGCUUCAUCGUCGAGAGGGAAAUAGCCCAGAUCACUAGCUAAGGCCCCUAAAUGAUCGCUCAGAGCUGCCACCCUUAAAAGAGUGUGUAAUAGGUUACUAAUCGAGCGCUCUUACGCUGAAGAUAAAUGGGGCUAAGCGGAAUCAAGAAUGUCAGCUUGAGUAACACAAACAUUGGUGAGAAUCCAAUGCCUAAAAACCUAAGGGUUCCUCCGCAAGGUUCAUCCAUGGAGGGUGAGUCAGUGCCUAAGAUCAGGCCGAAAGGUAUAGUCGAUGGACAAUAGGUGAAUAUUCAUGUACUACCCCUUGUUGGUCCCGAGGGAGGAAGUAGGCUAGGUUAGCUGAAAGCUGGUUAUCGAUUCAAGAAUGUAAGGUGCCCCUACUUUUUCAGGGUAAGAAGGGGUAGAGAAAAUACGUCGAGUUAAUGUUUGAGUACCAGGCACUACGACGUUGAAGUAACCCACGCCAUACUCCCAGGAAAAGCUCGAAUGACCUUUAAACAAAAGGGUACCUAUACCCGAAAUCUACACAGGCGGGUAGAUAGAGAAUACCUAGGGGUGCGAGAUAACUCUCUCUAAGGAACUCGACAAAAUAGCCCCGUAACUUUAAGAGAAGGGGUACCUCCUCACAAAGGGGGUCACAGUGACCAGGCUCGGGCGAAUGUUUACCAAAAACACAGGUCUCUACAAAAUCAUAAGACCAUGUAUAGGAGUUGACGCCUACCCAGUGCCGAAAGGCCAAGGAAGUUGGAGACUUGAUGACAGAGGAGUCGACGAUUGAAGCCCCUGUGAAUGGUGACCAUAACUAUAACAGUCCUAAGGUAGCAAAAUUCCUUGUCGAGUAAGUUUCGACCCGCACGAAAGGCAUAAUGAUCUGAGCACUGUCUCAGAGAGAGGCUCGAUAAAAUGGACAUGUCUGUGAAGAUGCGGACUACCUGCACUUGGAUAGAAAGACCCUAUGAAGCUUCACUGUUCCUUGGGAUUGGGUUUGGGCCUUUCCUGCAUAGCUUAGGUGGAAGGCGAAAAGGCCUCCUUCCGGGGGCCCGAGCCAUCAGUGAGAUACCACUCUAGAAGAGCUAGAAUUCUAACAUUGUGUCAGGACCUAUGGGCCAAGGGAUAGUCUCAGCUAGACAAUUUCUACGGGGCGUAGGCCUCCCAAAAGGUAACGGAGGUGUGCAAUGGUUUCCUUGGGCCAGAUGGAGAUUGGCCCCCUAGUGCAAAGGUAGAAGUGAGCUUGAUAGAAAGACCCACCCUUCGAGCAGGGACGAAAGUCAGCCUUAGUGAUCCGAUGGUACAGAGUCGAAGGGCCGUCACUCAGUGGAUAAAAGUUACUCUAGGGAUAAUAGGCUGAUCUUCCCCAAGAGCUCACAUCAACGAGAAGGUUUGGCAAAUCGAUGUCGGCUAUUUGCCACCUGGGACUGUAGUAUGUUCCAAAGGUUGGGUUGUUCACCAUUAAAGUGGUACGUGAGCUAGGUUCAGAACUUCAUGAGAUAGUUUAGUCCAUAUCUGGUGUGGGUGUUAGAGCAUUGAGAAGACCUUUUCCUAAUAUGAGAGGACCGGGAAGGACGCACCUCUGGUGUACUAGUUAUCGUGCCCACGGUAAAUGCUGGGUAGCCUAGUACGGAGCGGAUAACUGCUGAAAGCAUCCAAGUAGUAAGCCCAUCCCAAGAUAAGUUCUCUUUUAUUCCGACAUCCCCAGAGCUUUCGAUAGCAUAGCAGAGACAAUGACAGGUUUUCUGCCCCUACGGGGAUGGAGCGACAGAUGUUUUGAGAAUUCAAGAGAAGGUCAUGGUGAGACGAGCUAUUUAUCAUUAUGAUAGGUGUUGAGUGGAAGUGCAGUGAUGUCUGCAGCUGAGGCAUCCUAAUAGACCAGUAGACUUGAAC
rnacentral:rRNA from 1 species